rnacentral:rRNA from 1 species
UACGUAGGGUGCGAGCGUUGUCCGGAAUUAUUGGGCGUAAAGAGCUUGUAGGCGGUUUGUCGCGUCUGCUGUGAAAGCCCGGGGCUUAACUCCGGGUCUGCAGUGGGUACGGGCAGGCUAGAGUGUGGUAGGGGAGACUGGAAUUCCUGGUGUAGCGGUGAAAUGCGCAGAUAUCAGGAGGAACACCGAUGGCGAAGGCAGGUCUCUGGGCCAUAACUGACGCUGAGAAGCGAAAGCAUGGGGAGCGAACAGG